AGGAAGUAAAAGUCGUAACAAGGUUUCCGUAGGUGAACCUGCGGAAGGAUCAUUACCUAGAGUUGUAGGCUUUGCCUGCUAUCUCUUACCCAUGUCUUUUGAGUACCUUCGUUUCCUCGGCGGGUUCGCCCGCCGAUUGGACAAUUUAAACCAUUUGCAGUUGCAAUCAGCGUCUGAAAAAACAUAAUAGUUACAACUUUCAACAACGGAUCUCUUGGUUCUGGCAUCGAUGAAGAACGCAGCGAAAUGCGAUAAGUAGUGUGAAUUGCAGAAUUCAGUGAAUCAUCGAAUCUUUGAACGCACAUUGCGCCCCUUGGUAUUCCAUGGGGCAUGCCUGUUCGAGCGUCAUUUGUACCUUCAAGCUCUGCUUGGUGUUGGGUGUUUGUCUCGCCUCUGCGUGUAGACUCGCCUCAAAACAAUUGGCAGCCGGCGUAUUGAUUUCGGAGCGCAGUACAUCUCGCGCUUUGCACUCAGAACGACGACGUCCAAAAGUA
rnacentral:misc_RNA from 1 species